GGGGGAUAACUGCUCGAAAGAGCAGCUAAUACCGCAUACGACCUGAGGGUGAAAGCGGGGGAUCGCAAGACCUCGCGCGAUUGGAGCGGCCGAUAUCACAUUAGGUAGUUGGUGGGGUAAAGGCUCACCAAGCCAACGAUCUGUAGCUGGUCUGAGAGGACGACCAGCCACACUGGGACUGAGACACGGCCCAUAUUCCUACGGGAGGCAGCAGUGGG
rnacentral:rRNA from 1 species